rnacentral:rRNA from 1 species
CGGGGUGCAGCAGGCGCGAAAACUUUACAAUGCCGGCAACGGCGAUAAGGGAACCUCGAGUGCCAGGUUACAAAUCUGGCUGUCGUGAUGCCUAAAAAGCAUUGCAUAGCAAGGGCCGGGCAAGACCGGUGCCAGCCGCCGCGGCAACACCGGCGGCUCGAGUGGUAACCGUUAUUAUUGGGUCUAAAGGGUCUGUAGCCGGCCGGGUAAGUCUCUUGGGAAAUCUGGCAGCUUAACUGUCAGGCUUUCAGGAGGUACUGCCUGGCUCGAGGCCGGGAGAGGUGAGAGGUACUUCAGGGGUAGGGGUGAAAUCUUGUAAUCCUUGAAGGACCACCAGUGGCGAAGGCGUCUCACCAGAACGGACCUGACGGCAAGGGACGAAAGCUAGGGGCACGAACCGGAUUAGAUACCCGGGUAGUCCUAGCCGUAAACGAUACUCGCUAGGUGUCGGCCACGGUGCGACCGUGGUCGGUGCCGUAGGGAAGCCGUGAAGCGAGCCACCUGGGAAGUACGGCCGCAAGGCUGAAACUUAAAGGAAUUGGCGGGGGAGCACAAGGGCGAAUCGCG